rnacentral:rRNA from 1 species
GUGGGGAAUUUUGGACAAUGGGCGCAAGCCUGAUCCAGCCAUGCCGCGUGUCUGAAGAAGGCCUUCGGGUUGUAAAGGACUUUUGUCAGGGAAGAAAAGGGCGGGGUUAAUACCCCUGUCUGAUGACGGUACCUGAAGAAUAAGCACCGGCUAACUACGUGCCAGCAGCCGCGGUAAUACGUAGGGUGCGAGCGUUAAUCGGAAUUACUGGGCGUAAAGCGGGCGCAGACGGUUACUUAAGCAGGAUGUGAAAUCCCCGGGCUCAACCUGGGAACUGCGUUCUGAACUGGGUGACUAGAGUGUGUCAGAGGGAGGUAGAAUUCCACGUGUAGCAGUGAAAUGCGUAGAGAUGUGGAGGAAUACCGAUGGCGAAGGCAGCCUCCUGGGAUAACACUGACGUUCAUGCCCGAAAGCGUGGGUAGCAAACAGGAUUAGAUACCCUGGUAGUCCACGCCCUAAACGAUGUCGAUUAGCUGUUGGGCAGCAUGACUGCUUAGUAGCGAAGCUAACGCGUGAAAUCGACCGCCUGGGGAGUACGGUCGCAAGAUU